rnacentral:rRNA from 1 species
GACGAACGCUGGCGGCGUUCCUAAUACAUGCAAGUCGACCUUAGUGGCGAACGGGUGAGUACCACGUGGGUAACCUGCCCAUCAGAAUGGGAUAACACUUGGAAACCGGUGCUUAUACCGUAUCUUGAUUGAUGUACCCGCGGUGCAUUAGCUAGUUGGUGAGGUAACGGCUCACCAAGGCCACGAUGCUUAGCCGACCGGAGAGGGUGAUCGGCCACAUUGGGACUGAGACACGGCCCAAACGCCUACGGGAGGCAGCAGUAGGGAAUCUUCGGCAAUGGACGAAAGUCUGACCGAGCAACGCCGCGUGAGUGAAGAAGGUUUGCGGAUCGUAAAACUCUGUUGUUAGAGAAGCGGUAUCUAACCAGAAAGCCACGGCUAACUACGUGCCAGCCGCCGCGGUAAUUC